rnacentral:rRNA from 1 species
AACGAACGCUGGCGGCGUGGAUAAGACAUGCAAGUCGAACGAUCAUUAGCGGGUAGCAAUAUCUGCUAGUGGGAGUGGCGCAAGGGUGCGUAACACGUGGGCAAUCUGCCGUGAAGUUUGGGAUAAUCCCGCGAAAGCGGGACUAAUACCGGAUGUGAACCUUGGGAGGCAUCUCCUGGGGUUCAAAGUUGGGGACCGCAAGGCCUGACGCUUCACGAUGAACCCGCGGCCUAUCAGCUAGUUGGUGAGGUAACGGCUCACCAAGGCUAAGACGGGUAGCUGGUCUGAGAGGACGACCAGCCACACUGGAACUGAGACACGGUCCAGACACCUACGGGUGGCAG